UGGCAUGCUGAGAUUCAUGGGGUCGCGAAGAGUCAGACACUACUGAGCGACUGAACUGAACCGAACUGAACUGAGUCCUUUAGCCUGAUUCUAGAGAUCGCUAGUAGAUGUUUCCAGCCGCUGGAGCUCUGGGGCUCUGAUAUCAGUGGAAGCGACAGAGCUGCGAGGAGUCAGGCAGCAGCUGCCAGACUGGGGUCCCAGCAGGAGACUGGCCAGGGGCUGGCCGCUGAGGAGACCCGGUCAGCAGCAGCCUCCAGAUCCCUGGCCACAGCCAGAGUGCCCGGACUGCAGACCACCAUCACCAUCACAGGAGUUGGAGCUGUGGUGCCGGCAGCGGUGGGACCUGCGGUGCCUGUGGGGGCCCAGGCAGCAGCCACCCUCAGAGCUGGGGGCGCAGCUUGAGGAGGUGGGAGGCAGACACUGUGCUGGGCUUUUUGGGGGACACUUAGGGGAGGGGCACUUGGGAGGGGGCUGGCACUGCUGCUGGUUCUGCUGGCAGGACAUCUCGGCAGGAGGUCAGUGAGCCUGGGCAAAACAAAAUCACCUUGUCAGCCUGGAAUCCACAGUCCAGUGUUUCCCCACUCAUGGUUUCCUGAUCCCUCUCUUGUCAGGCCAGCUGCUUCUUAAGACAGGGCCACAGGAGGGAGAGGAACACUGAUGUGGAGUUAAUUUGAUCAUGCAAGUUGCC
rnacentral:lncRNA from 1 species